rnacentral:rRNA from 1 species
UGGUGGAGUGAUUUGUCUGGUUAAUUCCGUUAACGAACGAGACCUUAGCCUGCUAAAUAGUUGUGUCAACCUUUCCAAUAAACCCGUUCGUUCGAGCGUCGGAACCCCCUUCGGGCGGGCACCCCUUGAGCGGAUGGCGGUUCGGUUGACAGAUAUACUUCUUAGAGGGACUGCCAGUGUUCAACUGGAGGAGGCUUGAGGCAAUAACA